rnacentral:piRNA from 1 species
UUGACUGUGUCCCCAUCUGCUGUGAA